GCCUCUGUAGCUCAGUGGUAGAGCGUCUGACUUGUAAUCAGACGGCCGGGGGUUCAGCAACCGAGAAACU
rnacentral:tRNA from 1 species